CUGCAUUAAAAGCAGGGUCAGUAGCGAAAAUUAUUCAGUCUAGUUUCCGAACUCGAACGAGUCACUGCACUCUUAGGAGUAGCCCUGAUUACCAAACUCUUUGGAGUUAUUUUCAAUAUUCAUAAAAAUACUCUUAGGAGUUUUACUAUUUCAAAGUUAUAUCAUUAUAUUAAACCAAACUAUAUCAUAACCAGUUAUAUUCUAUAUUAUACCAAGUUAUACUCAAAACGUAUUUUACACCGAAAUUAUAGAAUAUAUAUAUAUAUCAAGCUAACUUUAGAUUCAAUAAUUACCUGUGAACCCUACACUCCCAACGACACAAGCAGCCGCAGAUCAGCAUCGAGCAAUCACAGUACAGCAUCAACCACCCGCAACCCAGCAUCAAGAUAUAUGGAUGGAGUUUAAAACUACUAGGGUCACUAUGGACAUCGGUGACUCACCUUCUUGUUUAUCUGGGACAUCAAAGUGCACAAGCCCAAGAUAAAAAAGAUGUUGAAAAGGACGAGACAUUGCAGCCAGCAAUCAGUCUUCAACCGGCAGCACCAUCAGGAGAAGAUAAACACCUCUAUCCACAACUAGUACAGCUGAGAAAUAACAUGGACAACGGAAUGACUAACGGAGUUCGUUAUUCUGAUAUAAGGGGGAGGUGUAACAUCCUCACCUCAGGCCGGACACCUUUAUUCACUUUCACGUUAUUCACUUUGAUAAAUUAACUAACUUCACGUUUGCGUAUGAAUAUCAUUUUUAUACUCUCUUUAUUUCAUAUCAUUAAUAAUGAUAAAACGUAUAUAUAUAC
rnacentral:misc_RNA from 1 species